AACGGCCGCGGUAUAUUGACCGUGCAAAGGUAGCAUAAUCAUUAGUCUUUUAAUAGGAGGCUGGAAUGAAAGGUUUAACGAAUCAUUAGCUGUCUCAUUUUUAUAAUUUAAAAUUUAAUUUUUAAGUUAAAAGGCUUAAAUUUUAUUGGUGGACGAGAAGACCCUAUAGAGCUUUAUAUUUUACUAUAUUAUGAUUUUUUGAUUUAUAUAUUGUUUUAAUAUUAGUAAUUUAUUUUGUUGGGGUGAUAAAAAUACAUAAGAAACUUUUUUAUUUUAAUUUCAUUUAUUUAUGAAUUAUUGAUCCAAUAUUAUUGAUUAUUAGAUUAAGUUACCUUAGGGAUAACAGCGUAAUUCUCCUUUGGAGUUCUUAUUUACAGGAGAGCUUGCGACCUCGAUGUUGGAUUAAGAUUAUUUUUUGGUGUAGCAGCUAUAAAAAUGGGUCUGUUCGAC
rnacentral:rRNA from 1 species